AGUUCCAACUGAGGCUGGAUGAGCUGUGGUCAGGGGCUGGGCCUGAGGAGGCGACGGAGGAUGCCGGAAAUGGGUAGAAGGUCUAAUGCAAGCCCAGGCUUCAAAGAAGACCUCCUGGUGGUUCUGAAGUUAAACUCUCCGCCCCUCAACUUCUCACGGGGAAACAGAAGCGGCUACUCUAAGCAUGGAUGAAUACCUGUAAGGCGUUUACCACAGUGCCAGG
rnacentral:lncRNA from 1 species